UGCAGGUCUCUAUUGUGCAACCAAAACUGAAAACACGUGUGCUCGCUGCGCUCAACACAAGGAGUGUGAGCCUGGAUAUGGUGUGGCACAGAAAGGCACUUCCCACAGCAACACAGUAUGUGAGAAAUGUCCCAAAGGUCAUUACGCAGAUGUGUCUUCUUCAACGGAAAGAUGCAAACCUCACACAGACUGUAGGAAAUUAAAUCUGCUGUCUGCUAGAAAGGGUGACUCAAAAUCAGAUGAACAGUGCCAGAAUUCAUCUCUCAGAGUACCAAUAACAGAGAAUAUUAAUAGGGAACACAGUAACAUACAGAAGAAUGUCCACCCAACGCAAA